rnacentral:lncRNA from 1 species
GACCCAUAGCUACUCCAUCCCGAGUAGCCAUGGGCUUACCAUAGAAGGAACAAACUCUUAAUCUUAGAACUGCUUUAGGCAGUGGGCGUGAUGGUUAAAAACUCGGCCUUUGGCGUCGACCUCAGACGGAGAUCUACCAAUUAGGAAAUUAGCUGUGAUUUAGAAAAUUUAAUAUUUCGAUGCCAUACUUUCCUAAUCUGCAAAAUUUUUGUAAAUACCUGUGACCUAGUGUCGUGAGCGCUUAGCAACACCUGACACCCACUAAGCUCUCAGCCAGUGGUUCUGAAAGUGGUUCUAGACCAGCAACAACAGCAGUAGCAGCAGCACCUGUGAACUUGUUAGAAAUGCAAAGUUUCAGGCCCAUUCCAGUUCUACUGAAUCUGAAACUCGAAGGGAACAGCAACCUAUGUUUUAAUAAACCCCAAGGUAUAUACCCAGUGACAUGAAUCCUGGAUCAUAAGACAGAAACAAUGUGUUACUACAUUUUUGUUGCUGGGGAAAAGAACUGACUUGAUGUACUUCCUCAGAAGAGAGACCGAACACCAGGAAAGAAAAUACAGAUUUCCCCAGACUCUACCUGCUAUCACCAUUUUGUUGUAAUACACCUUAACUCAGAGUAAACAGAAGAGUCCAAGAACCUCUGGUUGUUUGCAGAUGGUCGCCAGAGAACCAUGAUGACAAAGAGGAUCAUGGAGAACAGCAAGCGCCAGAUGGCAUCGUCUACCCACAGCUCCCGCCAGUCCUACAAUACAGGGGAGAAGUACAACAUUUAUACACAUUAUCUUAACCCCUUGUUCAUAAAGCCUUUGGCAUAGAACAAAAA